UACGGCGGGAGCUAGCGUUGUUCGGAAUUACUGGGCGUAAAGCGCGCGUAGGCGGCUUUGUAAGUUAGAGGUGAAAGCCCGGGGCUCAACCCCGGAACUGCCUUUAAGACUGUAUCGCUUGAAUCCAGGAGAGGUGAGUGGAAUUCCGAGUGUAGAGGUGAAAUUCGUAGAUAUUCGGAAGAACACCAGUGGCGAAGGCGGCUCACUGGACUGGUAUUGACGCUGAGGUGCGAAAGCGUGGGGAGCAAACAGG
rnacentral:rRNA from 1 species